AGUGAACGCUGGCGGUAGGCCUAACACAUGCAAGUCGAACGGCAGCACAGUAAGAGCUUGCCCUUACGGGUGGCGAGUGGCGGACGGGUGAGGAAUACAUCGGAAUCUACUUUUUCGUGGGGGAUAACGUAGGGAAACUUACGCUAAUACCGCAUACGACCUACGGGUGAAAGCAGGGGAUCUUCGGACCUUGCGCGAUUGAAUGAGCCGAUGUCGGAUUAGCUAGUUGGCGGGGUAAAGGCCCACCAAGGCGACGAUCCGUAGCUGGUCUGAGAGGAUGAUCAGCCACACUGGAACUGAGACACGGUCCAGACUCCUGCGGGAGGCAGCAGUGGGGAAUAUUGGACAAUGGGCGCAAGCCUGAUCCAGCCAUACCGCGUGGGUGAAGAAGGCCUUCGGGUUGUAAAGCCCUUUUGUUGGGAAAGAAAAGCAGCAGGUUAAUACCCCGCUGUUCUGACGGUACCCAAAGAAUAAGCACCGGCUAACUUCGUG
rnacentral:rRNA from 1 species